rnacentral:rRNA from 1 species
GUUAUGGUUCCAUUGGUGGCACAAACAUUUACUUGGAUAACUGUGGUAAUUCUAGAGCUAAUACAUGCAAAUUGAGCCCCAACCAUUCAUUGGAAGGGGUGCUUUUAUUAGAUCAAAACUAAUCAGGCUGUAAAGGCUUGUACGUUCUGGUGACUCUGAAUAACUUUUGGCUGAUCGCAUGGUCUUGUACCGGCGACGCAUCUUUCAAAUGUCUGACUUAUCACACUUUCGAUGGUAGGCUCUGCGCUUACUAUGGUUGUAACGGGUAACGGGGAAUCAGGGUUCGAUUCCGGAGAGGGAGCCUGAGAAACGGCUACCACAUCCAAGGAAGGCAGCAGGCGCGCAAAUUACCCACUCCCAGCACGGGGAGGUAGUGACGAAAAAUAACGAUGCAGAACUCACAUCCGAGGCUCUGCAAUCGGACAUGAG